GACGAACGCUGGCGGCGUGCUUAACACAUGCAAGUCGAACGGAAAGGCCCUGCUUUUGUGGGGUGCUCGAGUGGCGAACGGGUGAGUAACACGUGAGUAACCUGCCCUUGACUUUGGGAUAACUUCAGGAAACUGGGGCUAAUACCGGAUAGGAGCUCCUGCUGCAUGGUGGGGGUUGGAAAGUUUCGGCGGUUGGGGAUGGACUCGCGGCUUAUCAGCUUGUUGGUGGGGUAGUGGCUUACCAAGGCUUUGACGGGUAGCCGGCCUGAGAGGGUGACCGGCCACAUUGGGACUGAGAUACGGCCCAGACUCCUACGGGCGGCAGCAGUGGGGAAUAUUGCACAGUGGGCGGAAGCCUGAUGCAGCAACGCCGCGUGCGGGAUGACGGCCUUCGGGUUGUAAACCGCUUUCGCCUGUGACGAAGCGUGAGUGACGGUAAUGGGUAAAGAAGCACCGGCUAACUACGUG
rnacentral:rRNA from 1 species